rnacentral:rRNA from 1 species
UACGUAGGGUGCGAGCGUUAAUCGGAAUUACUGGGCGUAAAGCGUGCGCAGGCGGGCUUUUAAGCCAGACGUGAAAUCCCCGGGCUUAACCUGGGAAUGGCGUUUGGGACUGGAAGUCUGGAGUGCGGCAGAGGAGACUGGAAUUCCUGGUGUAGCAGUGAAAUGCGUAGAUAUCAGGAGGAACACCGAUGGCGAAGGCAGGUCUCUGGGCUGACACUGACGCUCAUGCACGAAAGCGUGAGGAGCAAACAGG